rnacentral:rRNA from 1 species
GAUGAACGAUGGCGGCGUGCUUAACACAUGCAAGUCGAACGAAGCACUUUGAUCGAUUUCUUCGGAAUGAAGUUUUAGUGACUGAGUGGCGGACGGGUGAGUAACGCGUGGGUAACCUGCCUCACACAGGGGGAUAACAGUUGGAAACGGCUGCUAAUACCGCAUAAGCGCACAGUACCGCUUGGUACGGUGUGAAAAAGUCCGGGGGUGUGCGAUGGACACGCGUCUGAGUAGCUAGUUGGCAGGGCAGCGGCCUACCAAGGCGAAGAUCAGUAGCCGACCUGAGAGGGUGACCGGCCACGUUGGGACUGAGACACGGCCCAAACUCCUACGGGAGGCAGCAGUGGGGAAUAUUGCACAAUGGGGGAAACCCUGAUGCAGCGACGCCGCGUGAGCGAAGAAGUAUUUCGGUAUGUAAAGCUCUAUCAGCAGGGAAGAAGAAAUGACGGUGCCUGACUAAGAAGCACCGGCUAAAUACGUGCCAGCCGCCGCAGUAA